UACAGAGGUCCCGAGCGUUGUUCGGAUUCACUGGGUUUAAAGGGUGCGUAGGAGGGCAGGUAAGUCAGUGGUGAAAUCUUCGAGCUUAACUCGGAAACUGCCGUUGAUACUAUCUGUCUUGAAUACCGUGGAGGUGAGCGGAAUAUGUCAUGUAGCGGUGAAAUGCUUAGAUAUGACAUAGAACACCAAUUGCGAAGGCAGCUCGCUACACGAAUAUUGACUCUGAGGCACGAAAGCGUGGGGAUCAAACAGG
rnacentral:rRNA from 1 species